AUGUGUAAGUCACUGCAUCCCACAGAACGCCUGUGUGGAAAACCUAGCUCAAAGCGCCUCACAGAAGUAUGCUCCGUCAUUGCUCAGCUCCAGCAGGAGCCGGCUCCUGGGGCAUGGCGUCCAGUGGUGGAGGCGGCCAGCUCGGACCCCGCCGGCUCCCCAGCCCUCGCUCUUCUGUGUGCUGCUUUGUGUCCAAGCCAGACUCCGCGGGGUCAAAGCGUGGCUGUGAAGGCGCCAGCUCCUCGGCCAGAUCCUCAAAGUUCCUCCAGAACUUUGGACCAGAGUGCCUUAACGCCAUAUUAA
rnacentral:lncRNA from 1 species